UCAUCGUGAACCAUCAUGUUAAGUUCACCCUUUUGUUCAUCAAUCAACGUUCUUUUCGUUGCUAAGAAUGAUCUCCUUAAAAUGAUAGAAAUUUCUUUAUCUGCCUCAAAAUCCAACAUAAUGAAGUCAGUAGGAAAGAUAAAUUUAUCGAAACGUAUCAAUAUGUUCUUGAUUUUUCCUUCAGGAUGUGCCAAUGACCUAUCUACCAAUUGCAGUGUGACUGCCGUUGGUUUGACCUCUCCAAUCCUCAGUUGCCUAAGCACAAAC
rnacentral:lncRNA from 1 species